CCUAAACCCGUAUUGCAAUGGAAAGCCCGGAGCGUAGCGAGGACUUGUAAUGGAAAAGCGGGGCUGCA
rnacentral:ncRNA from 2 species